rnacentral:rRNA from 1 species
UCGAAGAUACCAGCUGGCUGCAACUGUUUAUUAAAAACACAGCACUGUGCAAACACGAAAGUGGACGUAUACGGUGUGACGCCUGCCCGGUGCCGGAAGGUUAAUUGAUGGGGUCAGCGCAAGCGAAGCUCCUGAUCGAAGCCCCGGUAAACGGCGGCCGUAACUAUAACGGUCCUAAGGUAGCGAAAUUCCUUGUCGGGUAAGUUCCGACCUGCACGAAUGGCGUAAUGAUGGCCAGGCUGUCUCCACCCGAGACUCAGUGAAAUUGAACUCGCUGUGAAGAUGCAGUGUACCCGCGGCAAGACGGAAAGACCCCGUGAACCUUUACUAUAGCUUGACACUGAACAUUGAGCCUUGAUGUGUAGGAUAGGUGGGAGGCUUUGAAGUGUGGACGCCAGUCUGCAUGGAGCCGACCUUGAAAUACCACCCUUUAAUGUUUGAUGUUCUAACGUGGACCCGUGAUCCGGGUUGCGGACAGUGUCUGGUGGGUAGUUUGACUGGGGCGGUCUCCUCCUAAAGAGUAACGGAGGAGCACGAAGGUUGGCUAAUCCUGGUCGGACAUCAGGAGGUUAGUGCAAUGGCAUAAGCCAGCUUGACUGCGAGCGUGACGGCGCGAGCAGGUGCGAAAGCAGGUCAUAGUGAUCCGGUGGUUCUGAAUGGAAGGGCCAUCGCUCAACGGAUAAAAGGUACUCCGGGGAUAACAGGCUGAUACCGCCCAAGAGUUCAUAUCGACGGCGGUGUUUGGCACCUCGAUGUCGGCUCAUCACAUCCUGGGGCUGAAGUAGGUCCCAAGGGUAUGGCUGUUCGCCAUUUAAAGUGGUACGCGAGCUGGGUUUAGAACGUCGUGAGACAGUUCGGUCCCUAUCUGCCGUGGGCGCUGGAGAACUGAGGGGGGCUGCUCCUAGUACGAGAGGACCGGAGUGGACGCAUCACUGGUGUUCGGGUUGUCAUGCCAAUGGCACUGCCCGGUAGCUAAAUGCGGAAGAGAUAAGUGCUGAAAGCAUCUAAGCACGAAACUUGCCCCGAGAUGAGUUCUCCCUGAGACUUUAGGUCUCCUGAAGGAACGUUGAAGACGACGACGUUGAUAGGCCGGGUGUGUAAGCGCAGCGAUGCGUUGAGCUAACCGGUACUAAUGAACCGUGAGGCUUAACCUU